rnacentral:sRNA from 1 species
AGACGCGCCGUGUCAAACGGACGUGAUGGUGCCGGAGAACAUCGGGAUUUUUCCGUUUUCUCUCGAUGGCCAACGAAAAGGCAGACGAGCUUCUUAUCCAUCCGGCCG